rnacentral:misc_RNA from 1 species
CCUCCACAAGCUCCUAGAAGUGAGGGUCCUGCAUGGGGUGGGGCUAAGGUUUCAAAAGGAUUUGCUUCACUUCGUGAAAUUCAGGAUGAACAGAGCAAAACCAAGGUGAACCAAUCAGCAAAAAAUACAGAUCAGGUAGAAGAUCAUUCUGAUGGUAAAAGUGAUGGGAAGGUUCUGUUGAGUUCCUUCUUGCCUUCAAAACCUAUACCUGUGGUAUCAUCACAUGCAUCACCGACGUCUGAUUCAGAAAAAAGCACACCUCCUUGGGCUUCUGGAACUCCUCCCUUUCUUUCUCGGCCAUCUCUUAGAGACAUCCAAAUGCAGCAGCAAGGGAAACAGCAGCAGAAUAAUUCCCAUAGUCCAAAGACAAGAACAGCUGGAUUCUCAAUUGCAUCUGGCCAGGGAUCACCAUCAGAUUCUCCAGGGAUGAACCGCUGGUUCAAACCUGAGAUAAACACACCUGCAUCAAUUCGUUCAAUUCAGAUUGAAGAGAAGGCUAUGAAAGACUUGAAGCGGUUCUACAGCACCGUCAAGAUUGUGAAGAAUCCAACUUAAAUGGGGGACUGCAUGAUACUUGCAUCCAUG